rnacentral:rRNA from 1 species
AACGAACGCUGGCGGCAGGCUUAACACAUGCAAGUCGAACGCACCGCAAGGUGAGUGGCAGACGGGUGAGUAACACGUGGGGAUCUGCCCAAUGGUACGGAAUAGCUCCGGGAAACUGGAAUUAAUACCGUAUGUGCCCGCAAGGGCAAAGAGUUAUCGCCAUUGGAUGAACCCGCGUCGGCUUAGCUAGUUGGUGUGGUAAAGGCGCACCAAGGCGACGAUCCGUAGCUGGUCUGAGAGGAUGAUCAGCCAGACUGGGACUGAGACACGGCCCAGACUCCUACGGGAGGCAGCAGUGGGGAAUAGUGGACAAUGGGCGCAAGCCUGAUCCAGCCAUGCCGCGUGAGUGAUGAAGGCCUUAGGGUUGUAAAGCUCUUUCGCCGACGAAGAUAAUGACGGUAGUCGGAGAAGAAGCCCCGGCUAACUUCGUGCCAGCCGCCGCAGUAAAAC